rnacentral:rRNA from 1 species
GGAAAUGGCGGCUGCUACCAUGCAGUCGCACGAGAACGUUUCAGCUUGCUGAGAUUAGUAAAGUGGCGCACGGGUGAGUAACGCGUGGGUAAUCUACCUCCGAAUUGGGGAUAACACUGCGAAAGCGGUGCUAAUACCGAAUAACACCCUCAGGACUCCGGUCUUGAAGAUCAAAGGUGGCCUCUACAUGUAAGCUACCGUUUGGAGAUGAGCCCGCGUACCAUUAGCUUGUUGGUAGGGUAAUGGCCUACCAAGGCUUCGAUGGUUAGCUGGUCUGAGAGGAUGAUCAGCCACACUGGAACUGACACACGGUCCAGACUCCUACGGGAGGCAGCAGUGAGGAAUUUUGCGCAAUGGGGGAAACCCUGACGCAGCAACGCCGCGUGAGUGAUGAAGGCCUUCGGGUCGUAAAGCUCUGUCAAGUGGGAAGAAACUGCCCUAUGUAAAUACCAUAGGGUAUUGACGGUACCACUGAAGGAAGCACCGGCUAACUCCGUGCCAGCAGCCGCGGUAAUACGGGGGGUGCAAGCGUUAUUCGGAAUCAUUGGGCGUAAAGGGCGCGUAGGCGGUUGCUUAAGUCAGGUGUGAAAGCCCUCGGCUUAACCGAGGAAGUGCAUCUGAUACUAAGCAACUUGAGUAUGGGAGAGGGAAGCGGAAUUCCUGGUGUAGCGGUGAAAUGCGUAGAUAUCAGGAGGAACACCGGUGGCGAAGGCGGCUUCCUGGACCAAUACUGACGCUGAGGCGCGAAGGCGUGGGGAGCAAACAGGAUUAGAUACCCUGGUAGUCCACGCAGUAAACGGUGAACACUAGGUGUAGCGGGUAUUGACCCCUGCUGUGCCGAAGCUAACGCAUUAAGUGUUCCGCCUGGGAAGUACGGCCGCAAGGUUAAAACUCAAAGGAAUUGACGG